rnacentral:rRNA from 1 species
CAGCAGCCGCGGGAAUACGUAGGUGGCAAGCGUUGUCCGGAAUUAUUGGGCGUAAAGGGCUCGCAGGCGGUUUCUUAAGUCUGAUGUGAAAGCCCCCGGCUCAACCGGGGAGGGUCAUUGGAAACUGGGAAACUUGAGUGCAGAAGAGGAGAGUGGAAUUCCACGUGUAGCGGUGAAAUGCGUAGAGAUGUGGAGGAACACCAGUGGCGAAGGCGACUCUCUGGUCUGUAACUGACGCUGAGGAGCGAAAGCGUGGGGAGCGAACAGGAUUAGAUACCCGAGUAGUCCCUGUCUCUUUACA